AGCAGCAUGGCGCAGAUGGAAGCGCGCGGGGCCCAUAUGAUUAUAUAAUCAGAAACCCCGAGGUCACUCGAUCGAAACGAGUUGCUGCUA